GCUGCUCUCCACUCUCCAGUAUGGGUGAAAGAGUGAAACUCCAUCUCAAUCAAUCAAUCAAUAAACAGAAAGAAAAAUAAGGAGAGAUUAAUAGAAAUGUUCCUUUAAAAAACAUUGAUCUAACCAAUCAUCCCAUACUGGAAACUCAGGAUGACACUACACACCUAUCGGAAUGCUAAAAUAAAAUGUUAAACGAAGAACACCACCAAAUGCUGGCAAAGAUGUGGGGACAGGAUCACUCGUAUAUUGCUGGCCGGAAGCUAGAAUGCUUAGAAAAGACUGAUGGAAAGAUUGUCUUCUUCAAGUUUACACCCCAAUGCUAUUCGCUCACAAAUUAGAUAUUUCUGCAUACCAGAUAACUUCCCAAAGAAGAAUAAAAUGCAGACUGUGGCAUAUUUACAAGUGGACAAAUCUCUAAACUGGGUCAGUACAUCUUGGCUUGUUUUCAAACUCAAGAGACAUGAAGUUUGACUUCCUAUUGAAAAAUCAUGGCUUCAGC